AAGGAUUUAAGUUAAAAUUAAACUAUUAACCUUCAAAGUUAAAAAUAUAAUAAAUAAGCCUUA
rnacentral:tRNA from 1 species